rnacentral:lncRNA from 1 species
CACAGCACGAGAGACCUCUAGUGCCACAGUCCCCACCGUUCCCUAUGGCCCCACCUUAGGCCUGCUUCUCCUGCACCCCUGUCUCCCCGACUGCCAGGGUAGACUCAGGAGGUGCUUCUGGCUGGCAUUCAUGAGCCUUCAGUUCUGGCUUCGGUCAACCCUACAGAAAACCCACUGAUAACUCACGGGCCCUAGCAUCUCACCUCCCAUACUCUUCUCUAAUGAAAUACCCAGAAAACCACAAACCCCAUCUCAGCCUCUCUGUACCUGGGGCCUGUCCUCACUGGUGCUGUCGCUCUUAGCACAGGAGAAGCAAGUGGGUGGCCGAGGCUUCCGCGCCCCACCUGACCGCCCUUCCCUGCUCAUCCCUGGCCCCUGCCACCUGCUUGGUGCAGGUGCUGGCAACUGGCGACUGGGAGUGGGGUGCCUAUUGCUGAGGCUUUAGAGGCUGUAGAGGGGAUCGCUGUGGCAGGAACAUUCUUCCAGGAGAGGCACACCUGGGUUGCAGGUGGCUCCUGGGGCUGCAGGAGAGUGGGCAGGUACAAGGUUCACUGGCCUCACAGGCCCUGCUAUGUCCUGAACCCUGCACACCCCUAGUUUCCCAGCGGUUCCUUCGGCCACGCUUCAGUCAAGGCUUUCCACCCUCUUGUGAUGCUGUCCAGCUGCCCUCUUGGAGCUCAGAAGUCUUCUUUCAUUUAUAGCAGAUCCCCGCUGCAUGUUCGGCCACUGGAAACUGGAUGGGCCUGCGGAGAUGCUGCAGGCCCUGAAAUGAGAACCCUAUUUGCGGUGAGCCCUCCAGCUGGUCAUCUGUCCCUGCUUCUUUCAGGAGAGCCUGGCUGCCUAUGUCAACCAGAGGGGGCACCUCAGCAAGGAGACUAGGAAGACCUAUCCAAGGGAAAACCCAGAGAGAGGGCAAAGUGAGCACAGGUAGCCCGGGGAAUGAAGAAGGCUGCUCACUCCAGACUGCCCCCAGCCACACCUGGACACACUGCUCUUUGAGGCUGAACCUCCCACCCUCUUUCCUCACCUGCAGUUUGAGAAGAUAAGAGCUGCCUGUGUAACUGGGAGGCCCAGGGUAGGUGUGAAUGUGCUUUCAAAUGUUUUAUUUUUAAAAGCACUACGAAAAUAUGAGGUGUGAUUAAUC